AUUGAACGCUGGCGGCAUGCCUUACACAUGCAAGUCGAACGGCAGCGCGGGGCAACCUGGCGGCGAGUGGCGAACGGGUGAGUAAUAUAUCGGAACGUACCCUGGAGUGGGGGAUAACGUAGCGAAAGUUACGCUAAUACCGCAUACGAUCUAAGGAUGGAAGUGGGGGAUCGCAAGACCUCAUGCUCGUGGGGCGGCCG
rnacentral:rRNA from 1 species